CCCCUGAGUUGGUGAUGGACAGGGAGGCCUGUCGCGCUGCAGUUCAUGGGGUCUCAAAGAGUUGGAUACAACUGAGCGAAUGAACUGAACUGAACUGAAGUUGGUCAUAGCUUUUCUUCCAAGGAGCAAGUGUCUUUUAAUUCCAUGGCUACGGUCACCAUCUGCAGUGAUUUUGGAUCCCCCAAAAAUAAAGUCUGACAGUGUUUCUAUUGUUUUCCCAUCUGUUUGCCAUGAAGUGAUGGGACCAGAUGCCAUGAUUUUAGUUUUCUGAAUGUUGAGUUUUAAGCCAACUUUUUCACUCUCCUCUUUCACUUUCAUCAGGAGGCUCUUUAAUUCUUCUUCACUUUCUGUCAUAAGGAUGGGGUCAUCUGCAUAUCUGAGGUUAUUGAUAUUUCUCCUGGCAAUCUUGAUUCCAGCUUGUGCUUCAUCCAGCCCAGCAUUUCUCAUGAUGUACUCUGCAUAUAAGCUAAAUAAGCAGGGUGACAAUAUACAACCUUGAGGCACUCCUUUCCCAAUUUCGAACCAGUCUGUUGUUCCAUAUCCUGUUCUAACUGUCGCUUCUUGACCUGCCUACAGAUUUCUCAGGAGGCAGGUCAGGUGUUCUGGUAUUCCCAACUGUUUAAACUUUCCACAGUUUGUUGUGAUCCACAACGUGUAUAGGUGGCGGGGUGGGGUGGGGGGGAGCGGGGGUGGUAGUAAAUAAAAGACCAUAUGGAAAGGCAGGAAGAAGAUGAGCUGGGAUACGUUGCCGCAGGAGGUAGCCCAGAGGAUGGCAGAAUCAGGCCCGAAAGGCUCCUCCCAGAAGCCCAUUCCCCAGCAGAAGCCAAGUCUCACAGGAUCUCGCGGGUUUGUAAGAGGUUGGCAAGAGGUUCCUGAAAGGGGAAACACCUGGGUGCCUCACUCAGAAUGGAGUUUGGUUCCCAUCGUCUACCCGGCCAAAGCCGCUCCUGGGGCUGCCUCCCCUCUUGCCGUUCUUCGUGAGUCUGUCUGUGUGGCGGCCUGUUCGUCCCAGCUGCACCCUCAGCUCUUAAGGACCCAGCUCAGGCCUGUGGCUGUGCAGGGGCUGGAGCACCCAAGGCCCGAGUGGGAGAGGGAACUGCUCGUGCUUGUGCUGCAAGUGCAUCAAGUUCUGAGAGGCCGAGGGGCCACGCCAGGAACCCAAGCUUCUGCUGUGGGCCACUGGGGCCCCAUCUAACGUCUGCAAGGUGCAGGACUGCACCAGGUCCAGGUGCGAGCCCUGCCAUCGCACCGAGCUUGUUUGUUUCUCUGCGCUGCGCCCGGAAGCAGUGAGGGGCCUAGGAGUCCUCCCCGGAGACCACGACCACCUGUUCCCAGAGACUUUCCCGGAAGAACAGCCUCAGCUCAGUGAGGAUAUCUCUGCACCAAAUGGCUCUCAUCCUUCUGAGAUCAGCCAAGGCCCGUUACCUAUCAGUGAUGGAAGAAUAGAGAACAGGCUUCAAUAGGACCUCAGUGGAUUUGAUGAUGGCCACGUGCAUUGGGAAGGAUGAUCUGUGUCACCGAGUCCACGGAUUCAAACACUCAUCUCAUUUGGAGAUAGCCCACAGACACAUCAGAACUGCUUUUAAUCUCCAGGGAAGAUCCCCUGGAGCAGGGCAUGGCAACCCACUCAGGAGCCUGGCGGGCUACAGUCCAUGGGGUCGCAAAGAGUCAGACAUGACUGAGUGACUAAGCACCCCAUGACCAGUGAAGUUGACAUUAACCAUCGCAACCAUGUUGUUCUUCCAGUUUCACUCUUGUGUCCACACCCCAGGCUAAUGCAGGACAACUUGUUCAGUGGCCACUUUUCACUGUUCAGAAUGAAGUAAAGGGGUAACCUUCGCCCUACCCUGCCUCCUGCGACCUCUACAGGAGACCUCAGUCAGCCUCUCAAGCUAGACAGCAAGUUGGAGCAGGGUGCAGAGUGAAGCCAGAGGAGCCAGUGAACACCCCGUUCCUGUUUCUAAAGACAGUGAGAAUGCAGGCUUCGAGUUCAAUUGACUUGCCCAAGAUCUAGUGAGGAGGUAACCUGAGACCUGGCCGCCAAGAAGAACCAACAUUCAUCACAGCCACUGUGACCCAUUACUUGGAGCUGAACUCAUGAUUUUUCAGUUGUUCUAGUUUCUGACAUCACAUGAUCUUCCGACAUUGAUAUUUCCUGUAAUAGCGUGAAUAUUUCAGAAGUUUUAUGAUAGCAUUAUCUAUAAACUGUAGAAAAGGAUCAAUGGGAUUUUAUGUUUCGACUUCAUAACUGGGUGCAGGCUUUCUCUAGUUGUGGUGAGCAAGAGCUAUUCUCUAGUCACGGUGAGGGGGCUUCUCAUUGCAAUGGUUUCUCUUGCUGCAGAGCAUGGUCUUUAGAGCACGUGGGUUCACUAGCUGCAAAGCCCAGCAGCAUGUGAAAUCUUCCUGGACCCAUGAUCGAACCCAUGUCCCCUGCACUGUCAGGCAGGUUCUUAGCCACUGGACCAGGGAAGUCCUCCGAUUUUUCUUAAAAUGUUACUUUUGUAUCAUGAUACUUCCUCAGAUUACUUUAAGCCUAAUCUUAUAAUUUUCUUCUGUUUAAUGCUAAAGCAGAAUAAAGUU
ensembl:lncRNA